UACGUAGGGUGCGAGCGUUAAUCGGAAUUACUGGGCGUAAAGGGCGCGUAGGCGGCCUGCUAAGUCGAACGUGAAAUCCCUGGGCUCAACCCAGGAACUGCGUCCGAUACUGGUUGGCUUGAGUUCGGGAGAGGGAUGCGGAAUUCCAGGUGUAGCGGUGAAAUGCGUAGAUAUCUGGAGGAACACCGGUGGCGAAGGCGGCAUCCUGGACCGAGACUGACACUGAGGAGCGAAUGCCAGGGGAGCAAACGGG
rnacentral:rRNA from 1 species